AUACGUAGGGGGCAAGCGUUAUCCGGAAUUACUGGGCGUAAAGGGUGCGUAGGUGGCCUGACAAGUCAGGGGUCAAAGGCAACGGCUCAACCGUUGUAAGCCCUUGAAACUGUCGGGCUUGAGGUCAGGAGAGGAAUGCGGAAUUCCUAGUGUAGCGGGGAAAUGCGUAGAUAUUAGGAGGAACACCAGUGGCGAAGGCGGCUUUCUGGACUGAUACUGACACUGAGGCACGAAAGCGUGGGGAGCAAACAGGAUUAGAUACCCUGGUAGUCCACGCCGUAAACGAUGAGUACUAGGUGUCGGCCCUAAGGGUCGGUGCCGCAGUUAACACAUUAAGUACUCCGCCUGGGAAGUACGCUCGCAAGAGUGAAACUCAAAGGAAUUGGCGGGG
rnacentral:rRNA from 1 species